rnacentral:lncRNA from 1 species
ACCUACACUGCAGCUUAUGGCAAUGAUGGAUUCCUUUAAUACACUGAGCAAGACCAGAUAUCUAACCUGAAACCUCAUGGAUAUGAGUCUGGUUCAUCAUAGCUGAGCCACAAUGGGAACUCUCAAGGGAGAAAUGUUUUUAUUUUUGAAUUUAGUAAUUCAUCCACAGUUAGUUGUCUCCCUGGAUAGAGAAGCCAGGAUACAGGAGGGCCAACUCUACAAUGCCAUUUUACAAAAGGAACUUGAGCAUCAGAGUAGUUUUGUAUCUGCAGGGGUCCUGGAAUCAACACCCUGUGGUUACUGAGUGAGGACCAUAUAACUUUCAGUGGGUAUUAUUCCAUGUAUUAGUAGACCAAUAGACAAGGGAUUUGGAGGAAGGGAUUGAGUUUUGCUGCAACUUAUUUCAAAAUUUGAAGCUUGCGUACACUCCUGCAAGGUAAACUCAGAGCCCACACUGAAAAAGCUAUUUUUCUCAGCAACUAAAUAGAACUGAAUAUGGGAAAUAUAAGAGAAUUGAUUUUAAAAAAGACAUAACUAGAGGAAGAUAUGGAUUUGAGGAGUUAAGAGUAAUGUUUUUUGAAGCAUUUUGCAAAGCUGCCUUUUUGGAAGGAAUGUUGCCACCUGGGAAAUUGGCAUCAAAUAAAUAAUGCUGCCAAGAGCACAUCAGGAGCUUAGAUGCUCUAUGAGCACAAAUUCACAGAGCAGAAUUAAUGAGGACAUCUUGUAUUAAAUCAUUUGACAACCUGGAUGCUGUUUAUCAUUGAAAUGUAACAAUAUACAUUUUUAUGCUAUAAAAUGUUGACCUUCAUAUUGAAUGUAUUACAGUAGGAAUAUAUAUGUGCAUUUUUAUAUGUGUAGUUUUCUCACCCUAAUUCUCUAUGGGAAUGCAUGCUGUCAGAGGGAUGCACCCUUAGAUGCUGAACAGGGAGGGCAGGACAAUUAGAGGGAUCCUGAAAGUGGCACCUGGCAAUCUCCUAAAAUUCCUACUAAUGAGGAAGGCUACAGGGCUUCUUAUGUGGAAUACGUAUACACCUUAACCCACUCAAUCCCCUCAUAUGCCUUAACCCACUCAAUCCCCUCCAUCUUUUCAUCUGUAUGCUGUUGCCACAUUAAUCUUCCUCAAUCUCCAAAUUUGUGAUAUUUCUCUCCAAUUUACAGCCUUUCAAUGGUUACCUAUUUCUCACAAAUGCAAUACACAUAUCUUCACCUGGUAGUUCAGACUUUGCUAGGUAUAGCCUACAGAAACACUUCUCUUGGAGUAAACUGAAAAUUUCAAAGUUUGCUACACUCACUUUAAAUUUUCUUAAUUAUACUUUUCUCAGCCUUUUCAGUCUGCUUGCUUUGUAAAACUUCAUUCUGAAAAUAGUCAUAGGUCUUGUGCUUGUUUUGGGGUAAAGAUGAAUGUGCUCCCAGUUUCUCUAAGUAGUUCUAGGGAAAAAAUAAAGGUGGAAAUUAUAAAAAUCUCCCUUUUUAUGGGAAAAGACAGCUUGCAUACAAGCUCUGUUGAGGUAUACAUAAGUAAUUUACAUAAUCAGCAUGAGUUCCAAGCAUCUCUGUGUUCAGUUACAUUAAAUGAAAAGUUUGCUCAAUAUAAAUGCAGUUGGCUCUCGCUCUUCCUAUUUACAGUUAAAGAAAAGUUCCCUUUAACUUACAAGGAAAGAAUAUGUGCUAGGAUCAAAAUGUAUCAAUGUGCCAAGAAAGAGACACUGUAACUUGCUCCUCCUAAAAUAAUUGAUUAUGCAGGCUUGAGCCUUGCCAACCGAGUGAGAAAAAUUUAAGAAAGAAUUAAGACAGAAAAAUGUCCAAGGAAUGGAAAAGAAAGAAAUUUGUGCAACUCCAAAUUAAAAAAAAGCCUGGCACAAUGCCUCUUGGGCUGUGCCAGCCCUACCAUCUGUGGCCAGACUGAGUUAAGGUAGGAUAAAAACAUCUAUACUAUAAAAUAUGUGUCUGUCAUUGCUUUUUCUUAUUUUUCUAGUUAAAGCUGGAUAACAAUCUCAGAUUAAGAAGGCAACAUUGGUUUCCCUUUAUCUGAGAUAUGUUUACUUGGACAAUAGUACAUUUAUGGAGUUUGGCAUAAUGGGAGCAGCAUGAGCAGCAGCUUAGAGUUCUGAAAUGAGUUUGGGAAGUAGAAAUAAAGAGAAAUGAAAGUGAACAGUUAUCCCUAUCCGUUGCUUUCCAAGGGAUCUGGUGAAUUUUGCACCUGGCCAUAAAUGUGCUAAAGUACACUCUCUGAGUUAUUUAUCUGCUUUCAUUUAUUACUUCCAAUUUAUUUCCUAAAAUCUUAGGUGGGUUUCAUGUCCCCCUUUCUCCAUUCAUGCCCCACACCCCCCAUUUGAAGCUUAGAGAAAAAAAAAGCACUCAGUAUUCUUCAGAUUGUGAUGUGGUGGUGGUAGAGAGAAGACUGUGUUUGGAGGAGGAAAACAUGUCCACUCUGAUUGCAUCCCAUUUUUUUAGGCCCUUUGGUGUGUCAUUCUUGGUGGAAAGAUUAGGAAGCUCAAUUUGGUGACAGGUAUGACUUUUCCUUUUUAAAGAUCAGAUGGGUGAGGCCUGAAUGAACACAAAGCGUUAACAGUUCAUGGAAACCUUGCAGGUUGUUUCUAUUAGUUCAGUUCAGUUUACCAGAUUGGAAAAGCAGACAGGGACUUAAAGCAAAGACUGGUGUGGGAAUGAAUUUUCCUUUAGCUACAGAAAUAUCUUUAAGGAUGACCAGAAGAGGUGAGGGAAAGAGAUGCUGAUUUUAUGGUUGAGAAAAUUCCAGAAUAGUGAAUGGAUCAUAUUUUCCACUGGAUGAAGCUAUGUUUCCUUCUGGUUUCUACUCUAUUGCACUUCCAAAGAGAGAGAAUAUUUUAUGUAUUCCUGUCUAUCUCUACUUUUGUCUUUUUCUCUGUGGCAGAAGAAGCAUCACAGUGAAGUAUAUAUAAUACACAAUGACAAAUGAUGUAGUAUACUGCUUUAUGAUAGUUGUUCCAGGACUUAGAAAGUUCAUGAAUUAGUAAAUUUUCCGAGUACUUACAUAAGUGUGCUGAUACUAUUUUGCCAAGUAAAAUAAAUAUUUAUAUAUAUGAAUAAAUAUAAGUAAAUAUUUCAUCUACCAUCACCAUAAUUAGGUAACACAAAGGAUAUUUAACAUAAAAACAUAACAAAAUAAUCUCAGAGUUUUAAAAAUAAUACAUUUUUCUUUAAAAUAAAUCAUAUCUUUCAAAUUUCAUCUGGUCAGGUAAGGAUUUCAUUAAUUGUGAAGUAGAGAGUCUGAAAGGGAAAACAUUAUUCACUAAUAUUGUUACUGAUUCAAGUCAAAUUCUAGCUUAUAAAGUUUUUAACCUGUUAAAUAUGUUUAAUUAUAUUGAUUUUCAAAUAUUCAACAAAACAUUUAUAGGAUAAACCGCAGUGGCAUAAAAUACUUUAAAAAUAUAUUGUAUCAAAAUUUCUAAAAUUAUCUUUAGAAUUUUUCCAAUGAUUUAAUGAAAGAUGUUUGUAGUUUUCCUUUAUAAUACUGGUUUUAUCCAGUUUUGGUAUCAACAUUUAGUUUACUGAAUGGUAGUUAUAAAAGAAAUAUGUCCAUAUCCCAAUACCCAGGACUGGUGAAUAUUAUCUUAUAUGGUAAAGAAGUGAAUACCAACUUAUGUGAUACCUCCCCCCCCAAAUUAAGGAUCUUGAGAAGCUGGGAUUAUCCUGGAUUAUCUGGUUAGCUCCCAAUACAGUAACAAGUGUUCUCAUAAGACAGAGGCAAAGGAACAUUUGAGACAGAGAGGAGAGGAAAGACACAGACAAAGAAAAGGUCAAAUCAGCAUGUCCACACAGGCAAAGAUUGAAGAGAUAUGGCCACAAGUCAAGAAACACUUGAGGAUAAACAAAAAAUAAUUAUUCCCUAGAGGCUCCAGAGUAUGCGCUGUCUUGCUGAUACCUUUAGACUCCAGAACUGAAAGAAAAUAAAUUUCUGUUAUCUUAAGUCACCUGGUCUGUAUUAAUUUGUUAUAGAAACCUUAAGAAACUAACAUAAUUAACAUGCAAGAUAAUAAUGGCUUCUAAAAAGAAUUUUUAAAACAGUUUAUAUGAAAUUAGUAUUAUUUAAUUUUUAGGUAUUUGUUAGGAUGGAUCAGUGAAGCCAUCUGGGCCUGCACUUUUCUUUGUAUAAUGUUCUUGUUUUUUGUUUUUUAUUUUUCCCCUACAAAUUCACUUUCUGUAAUGGAUGUAGGGCUAAUCAAGUUAUCUGUGUCAUCAUAAAUAAACUUCAAUAGUUUUAUCUUUUAAGGAAUUCAUCUAUUUCAUUUAUAUUUUAAAAUUUAUUGGUAUAGAGUUGUCCUAAUGCUAUCUUUUAUUUCUGAUAUUAUUUUUAAUAUUUUUGUCUAUUUUUUCUUCUUUUUUUGCUGGUUUCAAGUGGGUUAUGGCUUGAAUUGUGUUCCCCUCCAUAUACUCCCUUUAAAAAACACAUCAUAUUUUAAGUCCUAACUCUCAGUACUUCAGAAUGUGACUUUAUUAUGGAAAUAAAAUAAUUAUGGAUAUAAUUUGUUAAAAGGAUGACAAACUAGCAUAGAGUGGGUUUUUAACUCAAUAUGACUGGUGUUCUUAAAAGGAGGGGAAUUUGGACACAGAUAUACACAUGGGGAUAAACUCCAUGUGACCAUAAAGGCAGAGAUCAAUAAGCUAAAUAAAAGGCAGAGAUCAAUAAGCUAAAUAAUGUCAAACAUUGCCAGCAAACUACUAGAAGCUAUGGGAGAGGAAAUUAGAACAGAAAUUUCAAGAAGGACACUAAAUCAUGAGUCAGAAAGUAUGAACAAGUUACAGCCAGAAAAUUAAAAAAAACAAAAAACCUGGAUCUGUUAAUAAUGAACUGAAGAGUCCUUUUGAAAUAGAAUUGUCAUUACCUUCCCCCUAGGAAGUAUGCCAUAGAGUGUUUUCACAAGGGACUGUGGCAAAUCCAUAAUCCACAAACUAGUAAAUAUAGACCAAGAACUAUGAAGAAGUUACCAACUAGAUUGUUUCCAUAAUGAUAUUGCAAUUGCAUUGUUUUACAAAUGAUUUCUAAUGCUAUAACACUAAUAAUACUAAUACUACUAUAUGGGAGUUUUCUAAGUAGUUUACAUGUGAAAUUAAAAACAAACAAACAAACAAAUAAACAGAGUUUCUGUCAUGGCUCAGUGGUUAACAAUUCCAACUAGGAACCAUGAGGUUGUGAGUCAAUCCCUGGCCUUGCUCAGUAGGUUAAGGAUUUUGUGUUGCUGUGAGCUGUGGUGUAGAUCACAGACAUGGUUCGUAUCCCAUGUUGCUGUGGCUGUGGCAUACGCUAGCAGCUGUAGCUCUGAUUGGACCCCUAGCCUGG